rnacentral:lncRNA from 1 species
UGUAGUUUGUAUAUUUUCUUUUAUAUAAAGUCAAACCUUCGAAUGGGUGAGGUCAUUUGAUAAUUUGGUGAAUUUAAUAGCUCUGUGUAAGCAAUAUGUAUAAAACUCUUUCAAGUAUAAAGUCAAUAUUUUCAUCCACUUUGACAUAUAUGUAUGUAACAUGUUCUUUCCCCACUUGUUAAGUAAAAAAAAAUGAGGAGAGAAAGAGAAAAUGGG